UUGGGCGGGACGUCACAGUCCCGUCAGUCAAUUACUUUUGAGUUGACAUAGGCGUAGGAGUGUUACUCAUGUGUCCCUGUAGUUAGCUAUGCCUCGAAUGGUAUGCUGUAUGCAAGUUAUGGAGUAAAACAUUGAGUGGGACGUCACAGUCCCGUCAGCCACGAAAGGGUUAACAGUCGUUGAUAUCUGAACGUAAUUCACAAUACUCUUGUCGUAUGAGAACAAAUUGAUUGAAUUGAUAAUUUUUAUGCAAAUUUAAUGAGAAAUUAUGCAUUUGGGAUGACAUACAUUUUACGUAUUGUGUGAUAAUUCAUCGGAGACUCGGCUCAACGAUUCCUUCCAUGAAGGGAUUGAACAUUGAGUUUUCUACUGAUAGCAUAAAAUGCUAGAGUUGUUCGUAGGUAAUUUGAUACAUGUCGCCUCAACUUGCCUAAUAAAUAAGAUGUUGAUGAAGUC